rnacentral:rRNA from 1 species
GACGUAGGGGGCAAGCGUUAUUCGGAAUCAUUGGGCGUAAAGCGCUCGUAGGCGGGUCGAACAGUCGGUGAAGAAAGACCUGGGCUCAACUCAGGGAACGGCACCGAUACUAUCGGUCUUGAGGCAAUCAGAGGAUGAUGGAAUUCCCGGUGUAGCGGUGAAAUGCGUAGAUAUCGAGAGGAACACCUGCGGCGAAGGCGGGUAGCUGGGCCGACACUGACGCUGAUGCGCGAAAGCCAGGGGAGCGAACGGG